UACGUAGGGAGCAAGCGUUGUUCGGAUUUACUGGGCGUAAAGGGCGCGUAGGCGGCAGAUUAAGUCAGCUGUGAAAUCUCCGAGCUUAACUCGGAACUGUCAGCUGAUACUGUUUUGCUAGAGUGCGGAAGGGGCAAUCGGAAUUCUUGGUGUAGCGGUGAAAUGCGUAGAUAUCAAGAGGAACACCUGAGGUGAAGACGGGUUGCUGGGCCGACACUGACGCUGAGUGCGCGAAAGCUAGGGGAGCGAACGGG
rnacentral:rRNA from 1 species